UACGGGGGGGGCAAGCGUUGUUCGGAAUUACUGGGCGUAAAGGGCUCGUAGGUGGCCAACUAAGUCAGACGUGAAAUCCCUCGGCUUAACCGGGGAACUGCGUCUGAUACUGGAUGGCUUGAGUUUGGGAGAGGGAUGCGGAAUUCCAGGUGUAGCGGUGAAAUGCGUAGAUAUCCGAAGGAACACCGGUGGCGAAGGCGGCUUCCUGGACCGACACUGACGCUGAGGCGCGAAAGCUAGGGGAGCAAACGGG
rnacentral:rRNA from 1 species